GUUGGCCCGCCCUCUUAAGGAGCCAGGUCCCGCUAGCUCCUCCCCUCUCUCCUCUCUUCAGUCCCACUACCCAUCCUCCUGCUUUACUCUCCAGAAUCUCCCCACCCCAGGCACAGCUUGCGCCUUCCUGUGUGUCUACCGGAGGAGAGACGAAGUCGAAGAAUGUAAACUCCACAAGGACAGAGGUUUUUGUCUGCGAGCAAUUUGGCACAGACACCUAUGACACUGCCUAGUAGGUGCCAGAAAUGUAUAUUGAAUGAAUGAGAGUGCAUCACAGCUAAUAAAGGUCACACUCAAAACUUUCUGCUCCCAAAGCCCACUGCUCCAGCUUGAGAAAGUUGUGGAGGCUCCGAUUCAGGCCAGGUAAUGAGCAUGGGUGAAGCAGAACAAUAUACUGAUUAUAUCAGUGCUUCUCAAACUCCAGUGUGCAAUUGAAUGAGCUGGGGAUCUUCUUGAAAUGUAGAUUCUGAUUCAGCAGGUUUGGAAGGGGAUGCUAAGACCCUACAUUCCUAUCAAGCUUCUACACUUUGAGCAGCAAGGCCUUGGACCCAGAGAGUCUCAGUUACGCUGCACACAAGAAUCACAUGAGAAGCUUUUAAAAACAAUGAUGCCCAGGCCCCACCCCAGAAUAAUUAAAUUGGAAACAAACCAAUUUGCAAACAAACCGAUUUGAAAAAGGGCAGAAGAUUUCUUAGUCGGGAAGAGACUAAGAGACCAUUUGUCUCUUACUGGAGGAGGUUGAGGGGAGGGAUUUCUGAAGGAAUUCUUAGGCAUGGGGCUAAUCUGCUAGCCCAGGCCAUGUCCUCCCAGGACUGAGAACACACUGUGCCUUUACCCUAUCAAGCAAGCCAGAGCUCCCUGGAACUGCUCAGAUGGGCCGGCUCAUAUGCCCCUAAGCAAUUCAGACAGUUGCAAAACCUUACUAGGGCAUUGGGAGGAGGUGCUGCCAGCUGCUCCCACGCACCUGCCCCUCUGCCCAGCUAGAGAAAGGGCUAAAUGAGCCAAGAGAUUACAAACCCUGGAUCAACACGGGCUAUUCAGAAAGGAACACCACAGACCUGGGUUCCGACGCCCUCUGGUGGACACCUAGAAUUGAAGUUUAGUAACGAACAAGGACCGAGUGGUACAGGUUUUCAAGAUUUUGAGCCAGUGUCUGGCACGGUCAUGUAAGACAUGGCCCAGUGUACAUAAUCCAGAAACUGCUAGUGACUAAACAUAUUGAAGCCUGCCUCCUUUUAUGCUCUACCUACUCCUUUACGUCCCUGAAAUCCAGCUUCCCCUGGAAUUCACUGUACUAAGUUUGGAAAUGAGCUGUCAGGGCUUAUCCUUAAAUGGAGAGGAGGUAUUUUUUCACCUUUCCUCUCUCCUUUUGUUAAAUCUCCCCAUUGGUAGUGUAGACACAACACAGUCCUUUGUGGUCUGUUCCUUUCUCCUGCUGCUCCAAAAAUGACCAUCCCAGAGAAACCCCAGCAGCUGCUUUUUUGAACACCCUCUCAGCUUGGUGAGCUCAUGUCUACUAACCUCUCCCCCUACCACACACACACACACACACACACACACGCACACAUCCGAAUUAGUGAGGCCUGCGUGGACAGAGCCUCCCACAUCGGUGGCUGCCUCCAGAGUGAUGAUGUUGACUCCCAGACACUUGCAUUUGGUCACAGAAAUCUGAGGAAGGGGCAACCGAAUCCAAACUCUCAAAUCCAGCUCUGUCUCCCCUACUCCCCUAGCUCUCUCAUUUGCCCAGAAACCAGCCUCAGGUCCUUUACAGCAUCUUUAUCCAGCUCCUCUUAUAGCACUUUGUGCAGACCCCAAACACCGCAGGGCUCCACCCUCCUGCCUCGUCUCCAGACUGGCUUCCUCUCAGCCACCACCUCAGCGCAGUUAGGGAGAAUCCAGGCCCAGGACCCACCUUCACCACACCAUUUAUUCAUUUGAAUGGUAAUCAAGGCAGUGCCUGGGUGGCUCAGUCAGUUAAGCAUCUGACUCUUGAUUUUGGCUCAGGUCAUGAUCUCACGG